rnacentral:ribozyme from 1 species
AAACACACCCCAACGCGCUCUCGGUUAAUUGGGGGCAUGUCAUUGACGGUAAUCUGCACUUUAAUGUUGUGACACCGGGUGACUUUCAA